UACGUAGGUGGCAAGCGUUAUCCGGAUUUAUUGGGUUUAAAGGGUGCGUAGGCGGCUUAUUAAGUCAGUGGUGAAAGCCCCAAGCUUAACUUGGGAACUGCCAUUGAUACUGAUGAGCUUGAGUAGAUUUGAGGCGGGCGGAAUGUGUCGUGUAGCGGUGAAAUGCUUAGAUAUGACACAGAACACCAAUUGCGUAGGCAGCUCGCUAAACUCUUACUGACGCUGAGGCACGAAAGCAUGGGGAUCAAACAGG
rnacentral:rRNA from 1 species